AUUGAACGCUGGCGGCAGGCCUAACACAUGCAAGUCGAGCGGAGCGGCGGACGGGUGAGUAAUGCCUAGGAAUCUGCCUGGUAGUGGGGGAUAACGUCCGGAAACGGGCGCUAAUACCGCAUACUAUCAGAUGAGCCUCGGUCGGAGUAGCUAGGUGGUGGGGUAAAGGCCUACCAAGGCGACGAUCCGUAACUGGUAUGAGAGGAUGAUCAGUCACACUGGAACUGAGACACUGUCCAGACUCCUACGGGAGGCAGCAGUGGGGAAUAUUGGACAAUGGGCGAAAUCCUGAUCCAUCCAUGCCGCGUGUGUGAAGAAGGUCUUCGGAUUGUAAAGUACUUUCAGCGAGGAGGCGUUACUCGCAGAAGAAGCACCGGCUAACUCCGUGCCAGCAGCCGCGGUAAUUC
rnacentral:rRNA from 1 species